GCUUGCACCUGAUUGAUUUUGGUCGCCAACGAGUGGCGGACGGGUGAGUAACACGUAGGUAACCUGCCCAGAAGCGGGGGACAACAUUUGGAAACAGAUGCUAAUACCGCAUAACAGCGUUGUUCGCAUGAACAACGCUUAAAAGAUGGCUUCUCGCUAUCACUUCUGGAUGGACCUGCGGUGCAUUAGCUUGUUGGUGGGGUAACGGCCUACCAAGGCGAUGAUGCAUAGCCGAGUUGAGAGACUGAUCGGCCACAAUGGGACUGAGACACGGCCCAUACUCCUACGGGAGGCAGCAGUAGGGAAUCUUCCACAAUGGGCGCAAGCCUGAUGGAGCAACACCGCGUGAGUGAAGAAGGGUUUCGGCUCGUAAAGCUCUGUUGUUAAAGAAGAACACGUAUGAGAGUAACUGUUCAUACGUUGACGGUAUUUAACCAGAAAGUCACGGCUAACUACGUGCCAGCAGCCGCGGUAAUACGUAGGUGGCAAGCGUUAUCCGGAUUUAUUGGGCGUAAAGAGAGUGCAGGCGGUUUUCUAAGUCUGAUGUGAAAGCCUUCGGCUUAACCGGAGAAGUGCAUCGGAAACUGGAUAACUUGAGUGCAGAAGAGGGUAGUGGAACUCCAUGUGUAGCGGUGGAAUGCGUAGAUAUAUGGAAGAACACCAGUGGCGAAGGCGGCUACCUGGUCUGCAACUGACGCUGAGACUCGAAAGCAUGGGUAGCGAACAGGAUUAGAUACCCUGGUAGUCCAUGCCGUAAACGAUGAGUGCUAGGUGUUGGAGGGUUUCCGCCCUUCAGUGCCGGAGCUAACGCAUUAAGCACUCCGCCUGGGGAGUACGACCGCAAGGUUGAAACUCAAAGGAAUUGACGGGGGCCCGCACAAGCGGUGGAGCAUGUGGUUUAAUUCGAAGCUACGCGAAGAACCUUACCAGGUCUUGACAUCUUGCGCCAACCCUAGAGAUAGGGCGUUUCCUUCGGGAACGCAAUGACAGGUGGUGCAUGGUCGUCGUCAGCUCGUGUCGUGAGAUGUUGGGUUAAGUCCCGCAACGAGCGCAACCCUUGUUACUAGUUGCCAGCAUUAAGUUGGGCACUCUAGUGAGACUGCCGGUGACAAACCGGAGGAAGGUGGGGACGACGUCAGAUCAUCAUGCCCCUUAUGACCUGGGCUACACACGUGCUACAAUGGACGGUACAACGAGUCGCGAACUCGCGAGGGCAAGCAAAUCUCUUAAAACCGUUCUCAGUUCGGACUGCAGGCUGCAACUCGCCUGCACGAAGUCGGAAUCGCUAGUAAUCGCGGAUCAGCAUGCCGCGGUGAAUACGUUCCCGGGCCUUGUACACACCGCC
rnacentral:rRNA from 1 species